rnacentral:lncRNA from 1 species
UACAGCUGUGGGACUCCUGUUGUCAAAAAUUUGAAGAGCUCUUAGGAAAAUGAAGGAUAAAUUCUCCUCUGUUUUGCCUCCACAGGGCACAACAAUGGACAAUGGGAGGUCACUUUGGGUUAUAUUUUAGUAGAGGCAUCUAGCAAUAAAAAUUAUUGAAGAAAUGAUGCAGCAGCCUGGGAAAGGCGUACGAUCCCAUCACACGAGUCCUUCAGUAAUGGAUAGGAAACCAUCAGUGAAAGGGAACAUGGAGAGGGGUCAUUCCAUGCUACCUCUUCUGUUCUCCGAGUCUAUUCUGAGUCUACAUAUUGCAAGGGUUCUAUGUCCUUGCAACUUUGGGUAGACAGCAGCUCACAUGCUUAUCCACCCUUUUCAGGCCAUGGGGGCCAGGAAGAGUGAUUAUUAUCUUUUCCUGUAAUGUCCAAUAUCAAUGGGACAGAGUUCACUGGGAAGGGCUUGGGGUGAGCUGUGGAGUGUUGAGCUCAGAGCUGAGAAAGCCCAGGGCUGUCUCAAGCUUUGCCAGGACUCACCAGGGGAUCCUCCUGGUUUCUCUAAGUUCACGCCACUGGUGCUUUGGGAGAGGGCCCUCGGCAUUUCUGCAUGUCUGUGUUGCUUCACUAAUUGAUUAAAAGAAAAAUAAACACCUCUGGGGUGGAGGUCUGCCUCUUACUUGGGACCAGACUACCUCUAGCUUCUGGGUUUCUCAGUGGGUAUCUCCAAGGUAGUUAGGGGUAGUGCUUGCACAAAAAUUUUUCCAGGCUAUGAAAGCUGCUCUUAGCAAGCAUCACAAGAGUCCAGAUUAGAUGCCUGACAGCAAAGAGAAACCAAACACUCCAAUUCAAAAGGGCAAAAGAGGCAGGAGCUAAUGAAGAAAGAGCAUGGACAGGGAGUCAGAAUAAGAACUUCUAGGGUCACAGUCACCAAAACAUUAUAUGUCCCUCUUUCCUUCCUCCCAUAUGUAGCUUAUAAACAACUUAAAGGCAUAUGAUAAUGUCAAGACCUUCAAAGGAAAUUCUUAUUUUUCUAAUGGUAAUGAUUCUGUUUUUUUUUUUUUUUUUUACAAUUUUCUUUCAAAAUCUUUAAAUGGUGAUAUUUAUACAAUAUUUAUAUCUGAAGCAGCACAUUAUUGAACCUAUGAGCUUAUAUAAACCUAGCACAGGGUUGUAAGUUUGAAGACCAAAAAUACAGGAGUACUAACAGUAAAGGAUGGUGUAUUUUCUAAAAUUAACUGGUUAGUGGAAAUGUAAUCAUUCAUUAAGCAGUUAUUGUAUACUAGGUACUAACUGGAGGGAUGAGAGGUGAACAAGACAGGCAAUGCUCCUGCUUCAAAAGACCCCAAUCGCUCUGUCUCUAAAUGACUUUCUUUGUCUAUAAAACAGAUAAGAAAAAGUACUUCCUUACUUGAGUUACUGUGAGUCUCAGACAUUCUUUUGGAUAAAUUAAAAAAUAUGAAAUGUGGGGUAAGGCAAUUAUAUUUCUGGUGUCUGUUUCAAUUACAGCCAAGUCAUAGACAUACAAACAAAUCUUGCAAGUAAAGAGUUUCAGAAAAUAGCUUCUUUAACAGAGUAAGAUCUUGAUGUGGGAUAAAUAUUCAAUUUUCCGUAAAUAUUUAAGUUUUUCAAGAUUUAUUUUCCAUAAAUCUUCAAGUUAACAUAUGAUGUUAAUGACAAUAUUUCAUUAAAAUCAAUCAAUAAAAAGAAAAGAAUACAUAUGUAUUCAUAGAUAUGUACAUAUACAUAUAUGAGUGUGUGUGUAUUUAGGGAGAAAACUCUUUUGGAGAGCAAUAAAUCUUAACUAACUGUGGGCAUCAGGCAACCCUUUUCAAUUCUGCCAGAGACUGGAUAUGUUGCCCCCCAAUUCAUAUGUUCAAGCACUAACCCCUGGUGUGAUGGUAUUUGGAGGUGGAAAUUUUAGGUGGUAAUUGGGUCAUAAGUGUGGAGCCCUCCUGAAUGGGAUCAUGCCCUUAUAAGAAGAGACAUGAGAGAGAUGGUCUCUCUCUCAGCAGACACUGAAUCUGAGAAUUCAGAAAGAAAAUGUCCAUUGCAAACUAGGAUGACCACUCUCAUCAGACACGGAAUCUGCUGGGACCCUGAUCUUGCACUUUCCAGGCUUCAGAACUAUGAGAAAUAACUGUCUGUUGUUUAGGCCAUCCAAUCUAUGGUCUUUGUUUUAGUAACCUGAGCUAAGAUAGUAAUUGGCUAUGAAGAAUGUGGUAACAAAUACCUGAAAAUGGGAAAGUGGCUUUGGAAUGGCAUGAAAGGUAAAGGCUGGGCAAGUUUGGAGAUUCGUGCUAGAGAAAGCCAAGAUUAUCAUGAAGGUGAUUCUGGUGAGGAUGCAGAAAGAAAAGAAGAAAUCUGUUGAGAAAUCUUCUAUCUUAGCGAAUGAGUAAAUUAUCAUGAACAGAAUGUGGCAGGUAAAGGACAUUCUGGUGAAGCCUCAGAAGGAAAUGCUGAACAUAUUAUUGGACAAUGGAGAAAAGGUAAUUCUUGUGAUAAAAUGGCAAAUAUCUUGGCUGAAUUUAUGUUUGUGUUCUAGUGUUUCAUGCAAGGUAAAACUUGCAAGUGAUGGAUUUUAACUGAGGGGCUAUCUAAACAACAAGUUCAAGGAGUGACUUGGUUUCUCCUGGUUUCUAAUGGCAUAAUUUGAGAAAAGACAAAUGAAUAGAAGAUGAAAUUUUUCAUCAAAAAGGAACAAGAACUUGAAGAUUCAGAAAAUUAUCUGCCUGUCCAUAUUAUAAAAUAUGAGAAAGCAUGCUUGGAAGAGAACACUAAGCAUGUGGUGGACCAACCAUUUGAUAAAGAGACUAGUGUAGGUGUGAAAUAGAGACCUAAUCAGCUACUGUAGCAGAAACACUGCCCGUUUAAACUGAAGUGAAUGGUGACAGGAUGGAAUAGAGGAAGGAGGUUGACCUUCCUGAAUUUUAUAGGAAAGACCCCAGAACUAUUCUUCAGGACUAGGGAAGAAUGACUCAGAGUUCAUCAAGUUUUCCUCCUCAUUUUCAAAAGCUAGGACAUCACCUUGGUUUCAACAGGCUAGACCACUUCUACCUAAACUCUGGGGCAGGGCCACCUGGAGCCUUGAGGGUAGUACCUGCACUUGGCAGAGCUUCAGGUGCAGGACCUUCACCCCAGUGGGUCUGAUAGGAAGAGCACUGAGCCAAAGAGGAUUAUUCUUGAGCCUUAAAAUCUAGUAGAAUUUGCCUUACUAGGUUUUGGAAUUGCUUGGGACACAUCAUCCCUUCCUUCUCUACCAUUUUUGGAAUGGGAAUGUCUAAGCUAGAUCUAUCUUAUCAUUGUGUUUUGGAAACACAUUUCUUGUUUGGUUUCAUGGAUUCACAGGUGGAGAGAAAUUUUGCCUCAGGACAAAUUCUACCUUGAGUCUCACCCAUAUCUGGUUCAUAUAUUUAGAAUUUAGAUGAGACUUUGGACUUUACUUAUUUUUUAAUUUAAUUUUAAUUUUUUGCUUUUUAGGGCCACACCUAUGGCAUAUGUAAGUUCCCAGGUUAGGUGUUGAAUUAGAGAUGCAGCUGCUGGCCUACAUCAUAGACACAGCAAUUCAGGAUCCCAGCUGCUUCUGUGACCUACACUGCAGCUCUCAACAACACCAGAUACUUAAUUCACUGAGCAAGGCCAGGGAUCAAACCCACAUCCUCAUGGAUGCUAAUUGGAUUCAUUACCACUGAGCCAUGAUGGAAACUCCAAGACUUUGGACUUUAGAGUUCAUGGUAGAAUGAAUUAAGACUUUGCAUGUUUGUGGAUGAAUUGACCAUAUUUUGCAUAUGAGAAGGACACAUAUUUUGAGGGGCCAAGAAUAGCAUGCUAUCAACUGAGUGUUUGUGUCCCUCCAAAAUUCAUGUGUUAAAGUCCUAAUUCUCAGUGGGAAGGUAUUUGUAGGGGGGCCUUGGGAGGUUAUUAGAUUAUGAAUAUGGCCAUAGUUGAAGACAACCCAUUGAAAGCCAGGAAGCAGGAUUUCAUCAGACACCAAAUUUGCCAGCACCUCAAUCCUAAACUUCCCAAUCUCCAGGACUGUAAAAAAUAAAUGUUGCCUAAGACACCCAGUCUACAAUAAUUUGUUAGAGUAGCUAGAACUAAGACAAAUGUGCGGAAACACUAUGAACAAAAGCUUGAAUAUGAAUGAUUACAAAAGCAGAAAAUAAAGGGUAGAAAUGAAGUCAUUUGCCUGUAACGUAGAAACAAAGUAGAGAUUUCCUUGACCCUUUGCACAUUUUCCCACUCCCACCCCACCGAGUUUUAAAUUCAGUUUCUUGGUGUCCAUUAGGGUAAGGGAAGGAAAUAAUAUAUGAUUUGAGAACACUUUUGAAGUUGCAGCUGAAUAAGUUUUUAAAAAAAUGAACCAUUGAAAACAUGCCUGUUGACCAUGAUUUUAAAAUUCAUGCCUGACUUUCAGAAGACAAGGUAAAAAAAAUAACACAAGGCAAUUCAAUACUAUAGAACACAAAGGAGUCUGACUUGACUGCAUGAGCUUUGGUCAAAUUCGACUUAAUCGUCACAGAUUAGGAAAUACUUAAGCUCUUUCUUUUCACUUCCCUUUUCUCUAUGUCAUGAGGACUCAACAGCCCCAGCUGAUAGCGUCAUGGAGGUGCUGACAGGCGCCCAACCGUGGUGUGAUUAACUCAGCCUGCUGCUGCAAUUAGCCCAUCAAAGUUGUCUGGGGACUAGCGUUUCUACGAGGGUCACAAGGCAAAAAUGACCUGGCCUGUCAGUCCUUGUCUGGCUGGGGCCCAGUGCUAGCAUGGGGGAUGUCACAAAGCAAAUGGUCAUUGCGUCUUUAAGCAAUGAGAAUAAACAGGUCUCUGCUUGUGAAACUGAGCACAUAUUAAGUAAGCCAUCCAGUACUUGACUUUGAGCAAGGCUCCCUUUCCUGUGUAUGUUCAUUUUAUUUUAUGGCCAUGUAAAAGCAACUCCAUGGCGCUGGCUGCAGUGGGAAAAUCAACAACAACACUAUAGAACAACCCACAAGCAAAAGCGGCCCCGAAAGAAAACAUCAGGAGAAAAAUAUGGAGGCAGAUCUCCCAAUCACCCUGGCAAGUAUUGGCCGUGUCAAACGUGAGAAUAAUUGAUUUUGACAUAGAGGAAAGUAGUAAUUGGAAUGAAACUUGUUUGAAUAACAGCUUAAAUGUUUCUUUCCUUGCUUUCCAGAUUACAUGCACUGUAAAGCUGGAUUUCUUUCUCCUGGCUAGUUCACAGAGGACAUUCUGUGUCCAGGGGGCUUGUGAAAUGAGGGGGAAAAAAAACUUGUGAAAUUUGCCUCUUUUUGGAUGACUUUUGGGCCUGGAUUCUAGGGUCACAUAUACAGUGUGCUGAUACUCCAUCCCAAAUCUUGCCUGUUACGAGCAUCCCACACAGACCAUUAUUAAGAUAAUGAAAGGCUGGACAGUGCCUGGGGGAGAGUGCUUCAUCCACUCCACUGGUUCAAAAACUGAAGUUAGAAUUUUUUCUAGUCUUCUUCCUUUUCACUGCUUUCCAGUUACAAUGAGUACAACGAACUGGAAGUUUAUGGCGCCCAUACCUUCACAUAUUGAAAUUCUACCCACCAAUGGGAUCGUGUUAAGAGUGUUAAGAGGUGGGGGCUUUGGGGAGGUGAUUGGGUCAUGCGCGCAGAGACAUCGUGAGUGAGAUUAGUAUCCUUAUAACAGAGACCCCAGAAGGAUCCCUCACCCCUUCCUCCGUAUGACGUCGUAGUCAGAAUAUGGUCUUCUAUGAGGAAGCUUGUCCUCACCAAACACUGAGUCUUCUCACACCUUCGUCUUGGACUUCCCAGCCUCCAGCACUGUGAAAAAACAUUCCUGUUGUUAAUACUCCACCCAGUCUGUUGGAUUCUAACAGCCCAAGUGGUACUGAGUCCGGAUUGUCCUACUUGCAUCACGACAGGCCAGUAUAUAGGAAGAUGAACUGUUGGGGGAAAAAAAUGAUGACCGCAUUCAGAAAGCCAGUAGACUGAGGAGACGGCAGAUUCAUGUCUCAAAGAACCAUCUUACCCCAGUCAGAAUUCAGGCUCCUUUUAUAUAUAUAUAAAAGGUGGAUGAGUGGGUGUUUGUUGUAAACUUUUUGGUGUAGGUAUCCUUUGUUCUUACAGCUGUCCACGUAGGUCAGGUCGUGAUGCUCCAAUAAACCUCCUACAAAACCAGUGCUAGUCUCUGUUCUGCAACUUUUUAUCCCUAUAUGUAUGGACUCUUACGGUUCAGAGCCCUGAGAAUAGGCUGUCCUGUAUAUUUCAGUCUAUAGGCAACAUUCUUUUACAAAAGAUACAGAGCCAGUGUGACCAAGGAUAGGCCACAGAGCACAAAGGCUAAAGUAAAAGAAACAGAUCUAAUAAGGAGUCUGGUCUGUCCCAAAGGUUUGGCUAUGAGUAUUAAGAAUCCAUCCAGAGCUGGUAGAUGCAAACUAUUCCAUUUAGAAUGGAUAAGCAAUGAGGUCCUACUGUACAGCACAGAGAAGCUGUAUCCAUUCUCUUGGGAUAGAACAUGAUGAAAGAUAGUAUGAGAAAGAGAAUGUACAUAUUUGUAUGCCUGGGUCACCUUGCUGUACAGCAGAAAUUGACACAACACUGUAAAUCAAUUAUACUCUAAUCAAAACAAAACUAUUUGGAUCUCACCAUUUAUUGGGGGGGGGGAAUCUAAUACCAUCAAUCUGGCUCAUCUUAAGUUAAAGGCAUCUGCAUUUAUUUCUAGUGGCAGAAAAUUGAGGGAUAGUUUUCUAGUUUAUAUUAUAACCAACCAAAGCAGCAUUUUAAACUCUUUAAGAGUGGGUUGUCUCUCGGCCAAGAAUUAGGAGAUGCUUGUUACUAGUAAAAUCGCUUCUGACAUAUCCAAGACAACUCAGCCAGCAAGGGGGAUAUUAGAGGAGAUGACAAGCGAUUUUAACACCAACUGACAUCAUGUCCUGGCAUGUCAUGGUGAUGUCCGGAAGACAUCAUUCUUGCCGCUUAAAAUAUCUUGGUAAGAAAAAAAAUGCAGGGUGACUAAAGCGAUUUUUUUCUACCUGUAUGGAAUAUUGCUUGCCCUUUAGAUGUUAGUUCAAAGUGUGUUUUGAGAUAUUAUUUGAUCUAAUCAAAAUGAUUACAGGCCUAUCCUUUCAGAGCUGAAAUGAAAAUAAAAACAACUUUUAUUUGGACACAUCGAUGUGCCACAUAUAUUCACAUUUAUCGACUUCCUUUGUGCUCAUAGCCUCAAUGUGAUUUCAGUGGUAAAUAAAAACUCAGAGAUGCUAAGGCACUGGUCUGGUAUCACAUAGCUAGACAGUGACGGAGUCAGGAGUUGGACUCAAUUUUGGUCCUCCAAGUUCAUUGGUCUUAUAACUGUGACACAUUUCCUUAGAGAUCAUCUCCUUCCUCUCCAUUUUCGAGAUAAAAUAUUAAGGUCUGCAGAGGCAAAUGCCUUUCGAAUGGUCUCCCAAGUGCCAGGCACACUGCCUUCAGAGACAUCUGGCUCACUAGCCUCGAAAUGAAGCUCAGUUCCUGUUAACAAGGUAGUUGUUUAUGGGCUCCAGCCCUCCUCUGCAAAGGAAGAAUUUGAAAAGAAAAAGAAAAAAAAAAAA